rnacentral:rRNA from 1 species
GACGAACGCUGGCGGCGUGCCUAAUACAUGCAAGUAGAACGCUGAAGGAGGAGCUUGCUUCUCUGGAUGAGUUGCGAACGGGUGAGUAACGCGUAGGUAACCUGCCUGGUAGCGGGGGAUAACUAUUGGAAACGAUAGCUAAUACCGCAUAAGAGUAGAUGUUGCAUGACAUUUGCUUAAAAGGUGCAAUUGCAUCACUACCAGAUGGACCUGCGUUGUAUUAGCUAGUUGGUGGGGUAACGGCUUACCAAGGCGACGAUACAUAGCCGACCUGAGAGGGUGAUCGGCCACACUGGGACUGAGACACGGCCCAGACUCCUACGGGAGGCAGCAGUAGGGAAUCUUCGGCAAUGGACGGAAGUCUGACCGAGCAACGCCGCGUGAGUGCAGAAGGUUUUUGGUUCGUAAAGAUCUGUUGUAAGAGAAGAACGAGUGUGAGAGUGGAAAGUUCACACUGUGACGUUAUCUUACCAGAAAGGGACGGCUAACUACGUG